GGAGCCCCGCAGGCAGGGCGCCCCGGGGAGAUAGGGGGCGGCAAGCGGCGGCGCACGGCGCCCCGGGUUGGGAGCUCGAGCCCAGCGGGGAGCUGCAGAGGGGCGCGCCGGGACUGGGAUGCGCAGGGCUCCGUGCGCAGCUGCCUGCGGCCCCCAGCCAGCCCCACUCCUGGGCGCGGCGCGGAGCUGGAGGCCGCUGCGGCGCAGCCGGGCACCUUCCGGAGGCGGCGGGUCCCCGCUCGGGGUCUGGGAUCCCCCCCCACACACACCUUGGCCGGGAAAGCCCGGCUCUGUAAAAUGACCAAAAAUGGAGGAUAAUUUAAACAUCCCCCAAAUUCAUGAAGAAAAGGUUUAAACUGAACUUACCGGACAUUCUGACCUGAAAGAAGAAGCAACUUUUAUAACAGCUGAUGUUGCAGCAGAAGAAUCAAUCACCUGGGCUCCUAGAUGCUGGGGGGAAAGGGAACAAAAAAACAAUAAUUUUAAAAUUUAAAAAAAGAAUACCUAAGACCACUGUGAAAAUUCCAGGUGGAGACCAACAAUAUUAAUGUUUUAUACCUACAGAUAUAAGUUUGAGUUUUUCUCCCCUAAUGCCAAGUAUUUAAAACCUCUAGAAACCAA